GACGAACGCUGGCGGCGUGCUUAACACAUGCAAGUCGAACGGAAAGGCCUGCUUUCCCUUGUGGAUUGCGGGUACUCGAGUGGCGAACGGGUGAGUAACACGUGAGUGAUCUGCCCCCAACUUGGGUAUAAGCCUGGGAAACUGGGUCUAAUUCCCGAUAGGACUGCAGGGUGGUGCCUGUGGUGGAAAACGAUUUUCUAGUGGUUGGGGAUGAGCUCGCGGCCUAUCAGCUUGUUGGUGGGGCAAUGGCCUACCAAGGCGGCGACGGGUAGCCGGCCUGAGAGGGUGGACGGCCACAUUGGGACUGAGAUACGGCCCAGACGCCUACGGGAGGCAGCAGUGGGGAAGAUUGCACAAUGGGCGGAAGCCUGAUGCAGCGACGCCGCGUGGGGGAUGACGGCCUUCGGGUUGUAAACUCCUUUCGACCGCGAGGAAGCCACCUGGUUGGAAGGGUGGUGACGGUAGUGGUAGAAGAAGCACCGGCUAACUACGUG
rnacentral:rRNA from 1 species